rnacentral:snRNA from 1 species
CGCAGCUCUUGUGUGACCAUUCG